GUUGCUUCGGGGGCGACCCUGCCGGCGAACUCGUCGCCGGGCGCCCCCGGAGGUCUUCUAAACACUGCAUCUUUGCGUCGGAGUUCAAAACAAAUCGAACAAAACUUUCAACAACGGAUCUCUUGGUUCUGGCAUCGAUGAAGAACGCAGCGAAAUGCGAUAAGUAAUGUGAAUUGCAGAAUUCAGUGAAUCAUCGAAUCUUUGAACGCACAUUGCGCCCUUUGGUAUUCCGAAGGGCAUGCCUGUUCGAGCGUCAUUUCACCACUCAAGCCUGGCUUGGUAUUGGGCGUCGCGGUGUUUCGCGCGCCUUAAAGUCUUCCGGCUGAGCUGUCCGUCUCCUAGCGUUGUGGAUUCUUCAAUUCGCUUCGGAGUGCGGGCGGCCGCGGCCGUUAAAUCUUUAUUGAAAGGUUGACCUCGGAUCAGGUAGGGAUACCCGCUGAACUUAAGCAUAUCAAU
rnacentral:rRNA from 1 species